UUCUUAACUUUAGCUUUAUCAUUUUCUGUCAGUCCUGAAGUGGACCUCCAGACAACAAAAGAUAACACAUCUGAAAGAAAUGGAUAGAACAUGCCCUGAAGAAUCCACUGCACGAACUUGUUUUUCUGACCAAGGAUUUCUCCUCAAUAGAAUCAUCUUGUUUGUACCUUGCACUGCAGCAAGUAGAAAUUUUAUCAAAUAAGGUGUACACUCAGUAGAAAUGAAAAGGCAGCACCAUUUACUUGGUGCAAAAAGAAGAUUGGAGAACACAGAGCAUGAGCUUCAUCUCUGAGGGUGAUAUGAUCAAACAACUUGGAGAUGACCGAAUGAAGUCAGAAUUUUUAACCCAGCUUGGUAAAACUCCAAACUCAAAUUGAUCUAUGUUGCUCCUAUAAAAACUAUCUAGUUGGGCCUCCCUGGUGGUGCAGGCAGUUGAGCGCCGCACUGUGAAGCUGUCCGUAGCCUCUGCAGUGAGGGAUUGAUUCCAGCUGGCCGGUGAGAAUCCCACAUGGUGAAGCAGACCUCUCCUGUCUCUCCUGCUGCUCCCCUCAGCAGUGUAUUUCUUCAGUCUGGCUGUUCUGUUCCCCUCUCUGUCUCCAGUGAAUCCUCUCACCCUCCCACGCAUCUGGCCUGUA